UCAAGAAUUACUUUAACAUUUACAGUUUGAAUAUCAAAUUACGGUUUCCAUGAUCGAUUUUGGGAUGAUAUCUAAACUUUUUGAAGAACGGUUCUUCCAUAUAAGUGUCUUAACAGUUUUUAACAGUUACAUAACCUAACGACAUAUUUAAAAUAACAUCAAAUCAGAAUUCACGAUUCAAGCAAUGUAUUUUACAAUAACAAAAACCGUUUGAUAAACGUUUUUUUACACUUCAUGAAAUCGUCGUUUGACUUCUACAGAAAACGUUUGGUUAUAAUCAUUAUUUAUGCGGGAUGCGCAAGAGUGUAGUGUUUAGAAAAAAAACAACGGCCAAAAGCGAAAGACUAUCAACUUUAAUGCAUUGACUCCGGUAAUCCCACAUAUUGGUAUCAAUAUAAUCGGAAGAAUCAGCUUUGGACCACCAGCCCGUCUUUUCCAACAGCAACAGUAGUACCAGUUGUAAGUUCCGGACUUUGCCAGCGAGCACCACUUGCGAGAUGUUGAACGAGCGGACAGCCAGGACAAAGGAGCGGAUGUGGUUCCAAGAGAAGAAAUUCCCGACGGAAAGGAGUGAGAAGUUCCCCGGAAGAAGCGAAUGGCGGGUAGCAUCAUCCGUAUCUUGACACCGAACGCAAAAACUGAAAUCCAGCACCCAGCCGGAAAACGUGCCGUGCAAAGGCGAAUAUUUGUAAUACUGUAGUGAAUGUUAAUAAUUGUGAAAUUUUGUGCAUCGGUUGUAGUAAAUUUUUAUAAAUAUAAAUAAAAUGAGUU